CCUACGGGUGGCUGCAGUGGGGAAUAUUGGACAAUGGGCGAAAGCCUGAUCCAGCCAUGCCGCGUGUGUGAAGAAGGCCUUCGGGUUGUAAAGCACUUUCAGUGGGGAAGAAAGCCUUGGGGCUAAUACCCUCGAGGAAGGACAUCACCCACAGAAGAAGCACCGGCUAACUCCGUGCCAGCAGCCGCGGUAAUACGGAGGGUGCGAGCGUUAAUCGGAAUUACUGGGCGUAAAGCGCGCGUAGGCGGUCUGAUAAGCCGGUUGUGAAAGCCCCGGGCUCAACCUGGGAACGGCAUCCGGAACUGUCAGGCUAGAGUGCAGGCGAGGAAGGUAGAAUUCCCGGUGUAGCGGUGAAAUGCGUAGAGAUCGGGAGGAAUACCAGUGGCGAAGGCGGCCUUCUGGACUGACACUGACGCUGAGGUGCGAAAGCGUGGGUAGCAAACAGGAUUAGAUACCCCAGUAGUC
rnacentral:rRNA from 1 species